GAUGAACGCUGGCGGCGUGCCUAAUACAUGCAAGUAGAACGCUGAAGGAGGAGCUUGCUCUUUCCGGAUGAGUUGCGAACGGGUGAGUAACGCGUAGGUAACCUGCCUGGUAGCGGGGGAUAACUAUUGGAAACGAUAGCUAAUACCGCAUAACAGUAGAUAUUGCAUGAUAUCUGCUUGAAAGGUGCAAUUGCAUCACUACCAGAUGGACCUGCGUUGUAUUAGCUAGUUGGUGAGGUAACGGCUCACCAAGGCAACGAUACAUAGCCGACCUGAGAGGGUGAUCGGCCACACUGGGACUGAGACACGGCCCAGACUCCUACGGGAGGCAGCAGUAGGGAAUCUUCGGCAAUGGACGGAAGUCUGACCGAGCAACGCCGCGUGAGUGAAGAAGGUUUUCGGAUCGUAAAGCUCUGUUGUAAGAGAAGAACGAGUGUGAGAGUGGAAAGUUCACACUGUGACGGUAACUUACCAGA
rnacentral:rRNA from 1 species